rnacentral:rRNA from 1 species
AACUGCGACCCCAGGUCAGCGGGAUUACCCGCUGAGUUUAAGCAUAUCAAUAAGCGGAGGAAAAGGAAACUUACAAGGAUUCCCCUAGUAACGGCGAGCGAACCGGGAAU